CAACUCUUAAAGCUGUCCCCCAUUUCCAAUCCUGCUUCUACUCGCUCCAGCUUCUGAUGGCCUCUUGGGUUUGUAUUCUCCUCCAUCUGAAAUAGCCCCCCUUCCCUUAAAAUGUCCUUGGGUGGACAGUCCUCCAAAGCCUCCCCACAGCCCACAGCAGAACCCGCUUGGCCUGGCUCUCCUAGGAUGGGGCCUCUGCAGCCUCCUCUCAUGCACACCCACCCCUGCCAACUCUCCCUGAACACUAGGCUCUUCUCUGCCUGCCUUUGUAGGCAUGAGGCUGCCUUAGAAGGGUGAGAUUAGGAGUGCUGGCUGUGCUCUUGGGUAACAAUGUCCCCCCCAUCACCUGUGCGACCCAAGAGAAACUUCUUUUCAUCCCUCAGAACCUGAAUUAAUGAUCACACCUCCCACCCCGCCAGGAGUUUUCUUGUUUCCCCUUCUGUGUUCCCAUAGAACCUGCUCAUAUACUUCUAUUUAACAUGAUAUAUAUACCAUGAUUGGUUUCCACUUACAGACUUUUAGCUCUUAGAGCCCAGAAUUAUGUAUCACUGAUCCAGACCAGACAUACAGUAGGUACUUAUGCAAGCUCGAAAACACAAAUGAGAAACAGAAACAUUGUUUUUACCCAAAGAAACUGUUAAUGUAGCCAAUUGCUUUGUCCCACUCUCCCUGGGGCAGGUAAAUGUGCAAGAAAAC
rnacentral:lncRNA from 1 species